rnacentral:rRNA from 1 species
UACGGGGGGGGCAAGCGGUUGUUCGGAAUUACUGGGCGUAAAGGGCUCGUAGGCGGCCAACUAAGUCAUACGUGAAAUCCCUCGGCUUAACCGGGGAACUGCGUCUGAUACUGGAUGGCUUGAGUUCGGGAGAGGGAUGCGGAAUUCCAGGUGUAGCGGUGAAAUGCGUAGAUAUCUGGAGGAACACCGGUGGCGAAGGCGGCAUCCUGGACCGAUACUGACGCUGAGGAGCGAAAGCCAGGGGAGCAAACGGG